CUAUCGGCUCUACGCGUAGUAAUACUCCUCGCGAUUGAGUCCGGUAGGUCUACUUGCCAGCAACCCUAAUUUUUUAAGGUUGACCUCGGAUCAGGUAGGGAUACCCGCUGAACUUAAGCAUAUCAAUAAGCGGAGGAAAAGAAACCAACAGGGAUUACCUCAGUAACGGCGAGUGAAGCGGUAACAGCUCAAAUUUGAAAGCUGGCUCUUUUAGGGUCCGCGUUGUAAUUUGUAGAAGAUGCUUCGGGUGUGGCCCCGGUCUAAGUUCCUUGGAACAGGACGUCAUAGAGGGUGAGAAUCCCGUAUGUGACUGGGUGCUUUCGCUCAUGUGAAGCUCUUUCGACGAGUCGAGUUGUUUGGGAAUGCAGCUCAAAAUGGGUGGUAAAUUUCAUCUAAAGCUAAAUAUUGGCCAGAGACCGAUAGCGCACAAGUAGAGUGAUCGAAAGAUGAAAAGCACUUUGGAAAGAGAGUUAAACAGUACGUGAAAUUGUUGAAAGGGAAGCGCUUGCAACCAGACUUGCGCGCUGAUGAUCAUCCGGGCUUCUGUCCGGUGCACUCGUCUGCGCUCAGGCCAGCAUCGGUUUCGGUGGUGGGAUAAAGGCCUUGGGAAUGUGGCUCCUCUCGGGGAGUGUUAUAGCCCUCGGUGCAAUGCCGCCUACCGGGACCGAGGACCGCGCUUCGGCUAGGAUGCUGGCGUAAUGGUUGUAAGCGACC
rnacentral:rRNA from 1 species